rnacentral:rRNA from 1 species
GACGUAGGUCGCAAACGUUAUCCGGAAUUAUUGGGCGUAAAGGGUGCGUAGAUUGUAUGAUAAGUUAGACAGUGGUAAAUCGAGGCUCAACCUCGUGGAAGCUGGUAAUACUGUUAUACUCGAGUGCAGGAGAGGUUAACGGAACUCCAUGUGGAGCGGUAAAAUGCGUAGAUAUAUGGAAGAACAUCAAUAACGGCGAAGGCAGUUAACUAGUUCUGCUACUGACAUUGAGGCACGAAAGCGUGGGGAGCAAAAAGG